rnacentral:tRNA from 1 species
GCCGGGAUGGCUGAGUGGUUAAAGCGCAGGUUUGCUAAACCUGUUCCCUUCGGGGAGCAAGGGUUCGAAUCCAACGAUUGGAA